GUGCUUCAGCAGCACAUAUACUAAAAUUAGAACGAUACAGAGAAGAUUAGCAUGGCCCCUGCUCCAAGGAUGACAUGCAAAUUCAUGAAGAGUUCCAUAUUUAA
rnacentral:snRNA from 1 species